rnacentral:rRNA from 1 species
GACGAACGCUGGCGGCGUGCUUAACACAUGCAAGUCGAACGGAAAGGCCCUGCUUUUGUGGGGUGCUCGAGUGGCGAACGGGUGAGUAACACGUGAGUAACCUGCCCUUGACUUUGGGAUAACUUCAGGAAACUGGGGCUAAUACCGGAUAGGAGCUCCUGCUGCAUGGUGGGGGUUGGAAAGUUUCGGCGGUUGGGGAUGGACUCGCGGCUUAUCAGCUUGUUGGUGGGGUAGUGGCUUACCAAGGCUUUGACGGGUAGCCGGCCUGAGAGGGUGACCGGCCACAUUGGGACUGAGAUACGGCCCAGACUCCUACGGGGGGCAGCAGCGGGGAAUAUUGCACAGUGGGCGGAAGCCUGAUGCAGCAACGCCGCGUGCGGGAUGACGGCCUUCGGGUUGUAAACCGCUUUCGCCUGUGACGAAGCGUGAGUGACGGUAAUGGGUAAAGAAGCACCGGCUAACUACGUG